rnacentral:rRNA from 1 species
AUUAGGGGGGGGGGCCUAUACAUGCAAGUCGAACGCUUUGUGGUUCACUGAUUUGAAGAGCUUGCUCAGAUAUGACGAUGGACAUUGCAAAGAGUGGCGAACGGGUGAGUAACACGUGGGAAACCUACCUCUUAGCAGGGGAUAACAUUUGGAAACAGAUGCUAAUACCGUAUAACAAUGACAACCGCAUGGUUGUUAUUUAAAAGAUGGUUCUGCUAUCACUAAGAGAUGGUCCCGCGGUGCAUUAGCUAGUUGGUAAGGUAAUGGCUUACCAAGGCGAUGAUGCAUAGCCGAGUUGAGAGACUGAUCGGCCACAAUGGGACUGAGACACGGCCCAUACUCCUACGGGAGGCAGCAGUAGGGAAUCUUCCACAAUGGGCGAAAGCCUGAUGGAGCAACGCCGCGUGUGUGAUGAAGGGUUUCGGCUCGUAAAACACUGUUGUAAGAGAAGAAUGACAUUGAGAGUAACUGUUCAAUGUGUGACGGUAUCUUACCAGAAAGGAACGGCUAAAUACGUGCCAGCAGCCGCGGUAAUACGUAUGUUCCAAGCGUUAUCCGGAUUUAUUGGGCGUAAAGCGAGCGCAGACGGUUAUUUAAGUCUGAAGUGAAAGCCCUCAGCUCAACUGAGGAAUUGCUUUGGAAACUGGAUGACUUGAGUGCAGUAGAGGAAAGUGGAACUCCAUGUGUAGCGGUGAAAUGCGUAGAUAUAUGGAAGAACACCAGUGGCGAAGGCGGCUUUCUGGACUGUAACUGACGUUGAGGCUCGAAAGUGUGGGUAGCAAACAGGAUUAGAUACCCUGGUAGUCCACACCGUAAACGAUGAGUGCUAGGGGAUUGAGGGUUUU